AAAUUGAAGAGUUUGAUCAUGGCUCAGAUUGAACGCUGGCGGCAGGCCUAACACAUGCAAGUCGAACGGUAACAGGAAGAAGCUUGCUUCUUUGCUGACGAGUGGCGGACGGGUGAGUAAUGUCUGGGAAACUGCCUGAUGGAGAGGGAUAACUACUGGAAACGGUAGCUAAUACCGCAUAACGUCGCAAGACCAAAGAGGGGGACCUUCAGGCCUCUUGCCAUCGGAUGUGCCCAGAUGGGAUUAGCUAGUAGGUGGGGUAACGGCUCACCUAGGCGACGA
rnacentral:rRNA from 1 species